rnacentral:rRNA from 1 species
GACGAACGCUGGCGGCGUGCUUAACACAUGCAAGUCGAACGAGGCCCCUCCUUCGGGAGGGUGUCCUAGUGGCGAACGGGUGAGUAACACGUGGGCAACCUGCCCCCGGCUCUGGGAUAACCCCAAGAAAUUGGGGCUAAUACCGGAUAUGACCGCUGACCGCAUGGUCUGGUGGUGGAAAGAUUUAUCGGCUGGGGAUGGGCCCGCGGCCUAUCAGCUUGUUGGUGGGGUAGUGGCCUACCAAGGCGACGACGGGUAGCCGGCCUGAGAGGGUGACCGGCCACACUGGGACUGAGACACGGCCCAGACUCCUACGGGAGGCAGCAGUGGGGAAUAUUGCGCAAUGGGCGGAAGCCUGACGCAGCGACGCCGCGUGAGGGAUGACGGCCUUCGGGUUGUAAACCUCUUUCAGCAGGGACGAAGCGCAAGUGACGGUACCUGCAGAAGAAGCACCGGCCAACUACGUGCCAGCAGCAGCCGCGGUAA